rnacentral:tRNA from 1 species
ACUUAAAUAGCUUAUAUUUGUAGAGUAUGAUAUUGAAGAUAUCAAGGAAAUUAAUUAAAUUUUUAAGUA